rnacentral:rRNA from 1 species
CUGCAACGUAUGGAGCGUUCCGGUUUAAUUGGAUUCAACCCCCGGAAACUUCCCNGGGGCGACGGUUACAUGAAGGCCCAAGCUGAUGACUUUGCCUGAUUUUCCGAGAGGNUGGUGCAUGGCCCGCCGUUCAGUUCGUACCGUAAGGCGUUCUGUUAAGUCAGAUAACGAACGAGACCUCCGUCACCAUUUGCUAUUCUUCUCUCCGGAGAGGGAGCACUAUGGUGGUACCGCCAUUGUUAAAAUGGAGGAAGGAGGGGGCAACGGUAGGUCAGUAUGCCCCGAAUCUCCCGGGCUACACGCGCGCUACAAAGGGCAGGACAAUGGGCUUCGACACCGAAAGGUGAAGGCAAUCCCGAAACCUGCUCGUAAUUCGGAUUGAGGGCUGCAAUUCGCCCUCAUGAAGCUGGAAUACGUAGUAAUCGCGGGUCAACAUCCCGCGGUGAAUAUGCCCCUGCUCCUUGCACACACCGCCCGUCAAACCACCUUAGUUGGGUCUGGACGAGGG